UUCUGGUGUAUCUGAAGACAGCUACAGUGUACUUAUAUAUAAUAAAUAAAUAAAUCUUUUUUAAAAAAAAAAAGCCAAAAAGGAUUUCAUGACUCAUGAGAAUUAUACCGGUGUCCACGAAUAAAGUUUCACUGGGACAUAGCCAGAUCUAUUUGUUUCUAUUCUACCGAGCAUGCUGUGGUGGUUGAAAUAUUGAGUAGCUGUGGCAAGGGUCUGUGAGACCUAUAGAACCUAAAAUAUUUGUCCUCUAACCCUUUACAAAGAGUGUUCUGACCCCUGCUAUGGAGGUGUCCUUACCGAGGUAGAAAUCCACCUUCACUAUUGACAAGAUGUUUGCCUUUAAGCUGACAACAACCCCCUUAGACCUUGGUUUUGACAUCUGUUCAGUGGGUACAAUCCGUAUGCUGAACAAAGGCAAAAAACGAUAGCGGAUCUGUGGUGAGCAGUUAACCACACGUUCAGUGCUCGUUGUUUCUCAUCACACUCAGGGUCUCUGUGCCCAGCUGAAGAAAAGAGAGAACAUUCCCUUCUAACCCAUGGACCACCCUUGUUGAGGACUUUCCUGUCACACUUUACAGUGACAGAUAGCAGCUGCCCAGUGACUUCCGGCUGUUUCUAGUGGGGAGGGGAGAUGUGUAUACCUGGUGGGAAAUACCCUGUCUCACAACCCCUUGUCCAUCAAGGUCUGAGGGGGUCCCCAGUCCCUCCCAGUAUAUCCCUGUGGACUGGGGGUUUGGCACACCCACAGCUGGGGCUCUUCAGCUAUGCUCCGCUCCCACUCGAGAGAUCUGGGCCUGUCCGCUCCUAGGCACCUCAGAUUACUCUCUCCUCCGCCUGCCGGGUUCUCAGUUAAGAAGCAUGGCUAACACUGGACACUAUCAUAGUUUCCGCUCUGUUGCUAUAUAAACACCAUAACCAAAAGCAACUUGGGAAGGAUUUCUUUCAGCUUACACUUGUAGGUAGGAGUCCCAUCAGUGAGAGAGUAAGGGAAGGAGCCCAAAGUACCUAGAGCGGAAACCAUGCAGAAGGCCGGUUACUGCUUGCUCUUGCUCAUUUUCUGCUAGAUUUUUUUUUCUUCUCUUUUUCUAUUUAAAAAAAAAAAAAAAAGACAGGUCUUGCUGGAGAGUGGGGCACACCUUUAAUCCCAGCACUUGCAGGAGCAGAGACAGUUGGAUCUGCUGAGUUCUAAGAGAGCCAGAGAAAUUUUGUCUCCAAAAAAAGAGACAGACAGGAUCUUGUUAUACAGCCCUCACUGACCUCCAAUUCCCAGAGACUUGCCUGCCACGCUCUCCCAUCUACUGGGAUUAAAAGUGUUAGCCAUCAUACCUGGCUGUCUGCUGCUUAUUUAGCCCAGCCCCACCUGCUAGACCCUCCCACAUCUGUCAAGACAGUUCCUCACAGACAGUGCCACAGAACAGUCUGAUGGAGGUGAUUCUUCAGUUGAGGUCUCCCUUACUCAGGAGGCUCUAAAUUGUGUCAAGCUGGCAAUAAACUCCAGCUAAGACGUACACAGAGGAAGAAAGAGCACUGCCUUCUGGGAUGAGUGGAUGACUUAUGGGAACCAGUGAAAGGACACAAUGGUGCUGGCUGUCCCAGCCUUGCCACUGCUUGGCUUUUGGUCAUCAGUGAGGCACCUAAUCUCUUGACACUUUACUUUCCUAGAAUAUGAAGUGGGCAUAAUUCCACCUUAGAGGAAUCAAUAUGCUUAUAAUGCAAGUCACACAGAUGCAUACUCCGGGCCCUGUUUCCUCGUGUAGAGCAGCGCAGCACUGCCCCAGAGUGGAAGUGGAUAGUCUCUUGAGGCUGUCCCCAGACCAGGCAGGGGGAGUAGAUGAAUGGGAACCCCAACAACAACAGAGACCAGUCCAGAGCUAUGGAUGUUUCUGGGGAGCACCCUCCUGUUGUAGCUCUGCCGAAGCUGUCACCCUGUGCUUUUCACCUCUCGGAAGAGUUAACGCCUUGUAGGCAGCUCUUCAGGCCGGUGACAUUUGGACUUUAAUGUGUUGGCCCUCCUGCGCUGCCUGCCCUGAGCUGUGCGGUGGACGCACAGCCAGCACCAGUUAUUGUCUGUGGCGCUUGCCUGCAGCCUCGCUCCGGCCCCGGCUCCACCCCUUGCUGCGAGGUCUGUUUCCUAACAGCUGCUCCAACCACACACCUCGGUUCUGCCCGAGCUCCUCCUCUUCCUCCCUCCCUCAUUCAGGGUGGGUGGGACUGAAGGACGGACUAACUUGACAGCAGCAUCUCAUUUUAGCUAGUCACCGGCCCCUUCCCCAGAAUGCCUGUGUGUCUCUAGCCUCUGAAGAGAGGUACUUCUCCCGGAGCCCCGGUGGGCCACGGAGCUCCGGAGAACCGGGGAGGAGACGCACCAGCCAUGUGCCCCUGCGGGUAUCUGCCAAGGAACCAGGGGCCUGGAAUCGUCUCUCUCCUGCUGCUUCGGAGGCAGAGGUGAGCACCGGGCGGCCGGCUCCAACCAAAGGUGCCGGGAACCCGACUGUCAUGGUGGCCGUCUGCAGCCAGCCUGAGGCACUCCCAGACGGGUUUGCAGCUGAGCCUGUUGAUCUGGUGUGGGAAGAAGAUGGGGAGUUACUUGUCUGUCCCGGCUUACUUCACCUCCAGAGACCCCUUUAGGUGUUCCGAGUGCCAGGAGUCCCUCACCAACUGGUACUAUGAGAAGGACGGGAAGCUCUACUGCCACAAGGACUACUGGGCCAAGUUUGGAGAAUUCUGCCACGGGUGCUCCCUGCUGAUGACAGGGCCAGCCAUGGUGGCUGGGGAGUUUAAGUACCACCCAGAGUGCUUUGCCUGCAUGAGUUGCAAGGUGAUCAUCGAGGAUGGGGAUGCGUACGCCCUGGUGCAGCAUGCUACACUCUACUGCGGGAAGUGCCACAAUGAGGUGGUGCUGGCACCCAUGUUUGAAAGACUGUCUACGGAGUCUGUCCAGGACCAGCUGCCCUACUCUGUCACGCUCAUCUCCAUGCCUGCCACCACCGAGUGCAGACGUGGCUUCUCUGUGUCUGUGGAAAGCGCCUCCUCUAACUAUGCCACCACCGUGCAAGUGAAAGAGGUCAACCGGAUGCACAUCAGCCCCAACAACCGAAAUGCCAUCCACCCCGGGGACCGCAUCUUGGAGAUCAAUGGGACCCCUGUCCGCACUCUCCGAGUAGAAGAGGUGGAGGAUGCGAUUAACCAGACGAGCCAGACACUUCAACUGCUGAUUGAACAUGACCCUGUCCCCCAGCGCCUGGACCAGUUACGGCUAGACACCCGGCUUUCUCCCCACAUGCAGAGUAGUGGACAUACUCUCAUGCUCAGCACCUUGGACGCCAAGGAAAAUCAGGAGGGAACACUGAGGAGACGUUCUCUGAGGCGCAGUAACAGCAUCUCCAAGUCUCCUGGCCCCAGCUCCCCCAAGGAGCCGCUGCUCCUGAGCCGAGACAUCAGUCGCUCAGAGUCCCUUCGCUGCUCCAGCAGCUACUCACAGCAGAUCUUCCGGCCCUGUGACCUGAUCCACGGGGAGGUCCUGGGGAAGGGCUUCUUCGGACAGGCCAUCAAGGUGACUCACAAAGCCACAGGCAAAGUGAUGGUCAUGAAGGAGUUAAUUCGCUGUGAUGAGGAAACCCAGAAGACUUUCCUGACUGAGGUGAAAGUGAUGCGAAGCCUGGACCACCCUAACGUGCUUAAGUUCAUCGGGGUCCUGUACAAGGACAAGAAGCUGAAUCUGCUGACAGAGUACAUUGAGGGGGGCACCCUGAAGGACUUUCUGCGCAAUGUGGACCCGUUUCCCUGGCAACAGAAGGUCAGGUUUGCCAAAGGCAUCGCUUCCGGAAUGGCUUAUUUACACUCCAUGUGCAUCAUCCACCGAGAUCUGAACUCGCACAACUGUCUCAUCAAAUUGGACAAGACGGUGGUGGUAGCAGACUUCGGGCUGUCACGUCUCAUAGUGGAAGAGAGGAAAAGGCCUCCAGUAGAGAAGGCCGCCACCAAGAAACGCACCUUACGCAAGAGUGAUCGCAAGAAGCGCUACACUGUGGUGGGAAACCCCUACUGGAUGGCCCCUGAGAUGCUGAAUGGCAAGAGCUACGAUGAGACUGUGGAUGUCUUCUCUUUUGGGAUUGUUCUCUGUGAGAUCAUUGGGCAGGUAUAUGCUGAUCCCGACUGCCUUCCCCGCACACUGGACUUCGGCCUCAACGUAAAGCUUUUCUGGGAGAAGUUUGUCCCAACAGACUGUCCCCCAGCCUUCUUCCCCCUGGCUGCUAUCUGCUGCAAACUGGAGCCUGAGAGCAGCUCUUCUUUCCAGGAGGAAGCCUUGGGAAACCCACCCUUCCCAACCCUGGGAAGCUCCAUCAGCCAAACCCUGGGGCACUACAGAGUUCAAGACUUGCAGGAAUUACUGAUUGCUCUGGGUCUACAUGCAAGCUGGGCUCGCCAGAGAGAAGAGAGGUGAAGAACCAGAGCUGCUGCUACCUGCCUCUAUGGAAACAGAGGCCUCUGCGGCUGAUUCCAAACCAGAAGCCACGCAGUGCAACUCUGCUGCUGCUCUGGGCAAGUUUUCCAAGGCGGUUACUGUACAGGCGCACAAGCGAAUCCCCAAGUGUCUCAGCUCCUCGUUGGGAAGAGAGCUUCAAGGCCGGUGACGAACUGGGUAAAAAAAGUCGUCUGAGGAACGCAUACAGCAGGGCCUGACUUAUCAAGGAAGCAUGAAACCAACAAUGGGCCUGUGAUUAGCAUCUGAUUACUGUCCCACUGCUUAUGUGCGAUGUUUGUGCAGGGGAAACGUCCACAUUUAGCAGGCAUGAUACCUGCCAAGCAGGGUGGUCUGAAAUGGCAUUGAGCUUACAGCCCUUGCCCUGAUGACUGUUCCCUACGGGUGGGGAGAGGGGGAGGCUCGGAGCUUGCUUCUAGCCCACAUGCGGUUUCCUGUUGUACAGGUUGUUCUCAGAGCCUGUUUGCUAAGGAAAGGGGUGGUCCGGAGGUUAGUGACAGGGAGUCUGGUGACUUAGUGCCUUCCCCCUGUGUGUACAGCAAAGUUCCCUCAAGGUCACAUGGCAGCCCCAUGACAGCCUAAAAAAAGUAAAACUAAAAGAAAAAGGCCUGCUGGCCUCUGCACCUGGCCCCAGCUGAGCCUGGAUUAAGAGCAGUUAGUACAUGCUUCUGAAGCUCUGGAAACUGUCAUAAGAUUGGAAGGCAGCCAAAGGCUGUCCAGAGGCUGAGGAACAUGGGAAAAUCUCAGGGCUCAGUCCAGCACGGUUUGGGUCAGUGGACUGCACAGGCAGAGAGCAGCUAUACUGUUUUCUUCAGAGUUUCUACAUGAACAAGUAGGUGUCCCUGGACCUGCAAGUCAUCGAUGCUUCUGAGGACCAUGACCUCAGUCUGGGAGUUAGGAUGCUCUCUCUCAGGUCAAUCUCGGAACCUCUCUGCUCCCUUGACUCACGGGGAAUCAGAGACACCCGUAAAAUCACCUGUUCAUGCAAAUGGUAGGGCUGGGAUGGAAAGGAGUACAACCCCAGUGCCCAUUUCAGAAACAGCGCUGCUGUCGUCAUCCCUAACUCCCCACCUGAUGGAUAGACCGAGGCUCAGAAGAGCUAAGUGGUCAGGUGCUCAUAUCCUCUGGACAAGCACACCAGCGACUGUUCAUGGAUCGCUCGCUGUGGGCCACACACCAAAGCUAAGCAGCCACCAGCCACACACCCUCCCCAUACACCCUCCCCUCCCCGCAGGACCGCUCUGGACUGGUAACAAGAAGCAACCCGCCCCACUGCGCCACACGGACGGACGGACGACAGCUUGUUCCACCAUAUUCUGAACCCGUAACCACGGGCAGAGCGCCUAUUCUCUUGCCUCGAGUUUCCUCAUCUGAGAACUGGAAAGAACACCAGUUUUAUCCUCUAAGAGUGAUCGGGACCGUAAUCUCAGCCCUCGGGAGAAGGGAGCAGGAUUCAGACUUCAGACUUCAAGAAGCCAGGCUUGGUGAUUUAACACUUUAAUCCUAGCAACCAGGAAGCAGAGGCAGGCAUUUCUCUGAAUUCAAUGCCAGACUGGUCUGUCUAGAGAGAUCCGUGACAGCCAGAGUUACAGGGUGAGUGAGACCCUGUCUCCAACAGAUCAAAACAACAAAACCCCAACCUCGAACAACAACAACAACAACAACAACAACAGUAAGAGUUCAAGGCCAUGAGAGCAUGCCACCUCUGUAGCAAAGCCUCGCCUGCCCCUUUCCAUCUGCAAUGUGGCUGGCUCCAAAACCUCUAAGAGCGCCUCCGGUUUAGAAAACAAUGGCUGAGACAAUUCAACACACUUCAGACAUGGCUCCCACUGCUCAACACGCUUCAGACACGGCUCCCACUGCUGGACAACCAAGCCCACUGUACCACUUCUCUUACAGGGAGGCUUCUCCCAUCAGAGCAAUACAGCUGGUUCGUGGGGCUGGAACUCAUGCCGGAUUUUGUCCAAGAACACUCGGUGUUGUAACAAUGGUUUGUUUUUUUUUUUCUUUUUUUUUUUUUCUUUUUUCUCGGAGCUGGGGACUGAACCCAGGGCCUUGCAGGCAAGCACUCUACCACUGAGCUAAAUCCCCAACCCCGUAACAAUGGUUUUGAUUCUUAGAGCCACACGUCACCAGUUGUGACAGACUUGUCCCAUGGGGCUGCAAGUUUGUCCUUGCUUCCCAAGCAGUCUCUUGCACUUUCAUAUCCGGUAAGAAGCGGCCUUUUCCCUAAUCAUUUCUUUUCUUCUCCCUACCCUAGAGGACACCCCACUGAUACAAUUUAAGCCCCAGUGGGAGACUUCAAGACCAGGGGCUAGGAACCUUUCCUAACAGUGGAAUGUUUUGACACGUGGUCUCACUCUGUCUUACAGAUGGUGGUAACUCACCACCUGUCUGCUCAGAUUAAAGAUCAUGUCUUGCUUUUAUUGAGGUUUUACUUGUUUUUCUUUUGGUCUUUUGGAAGCAGAGCCUCUGUUUGCAAACUUGUAGACCUCCUGCCUCAGUCUCCUGAGUUCUGGGAUUAGAGUAUGUAUGAAGCAGGACACCUAUCUUAGGAACAGAAUUUCAAAACUCAACAAAAUGGGGCUGGGGAGAUGGCUCAGGGGUUAAGAGCACUGACCGCUCUUCCAGAGGUCCUGAGUUCAAUUCCCAGCAACCACAUGGUGGCUCACAACCAUCUGUAAUGGGAUCUGACACCCUCUUCUGGCGUAUGUGGACACAGUGACAGUGUACUCAUAUAAAUAAAAUAAAUAAAUCUUUCUUUAAAAAAAAAAAAAACUCGGGGUUGGGGAUUUAGCUCAGUGGUAGAGCCUUGGGUUCCGUCCCCAGCUGGGGGGGGGGGGGACUCAACAAAAUGAAUCUCUCUUCCUUCAGAGCAUGAUGAGGAGGGCUCAGAAAUCCCAUUCCUCAAGGGGUUGAGGCAGGAUUAUGAGUAAGAGACUACCCCUUCAAGGUCAGUCAGGGCUACAGAUGGAGACCUUGUCUGGGGGGGUGGGGGGUGGGGGUGGGAGGAAUCAGUAUCUAAGCCCUUAACCUGAGAGACCAAGAUCACCAGGCAGUGACGAAGGCCAAAUCUCUACUCUUGGACUGGUUUUGCUUCCUUCCAUACCGUACUUCCUUUUGAAAGACACCAAGAAGAUGGUCUGAUACUGUAUCUCUUCCUCAGCCCUAUUCCGUGGGAGUUGGGAAAAGAAACUACCCACCUCUUGUAAGUGUAGCCCAAGACGAUGCCAACUCCAAUAGCGAUGAUAAUUACCGUCAUAGUAACGCCCAACACGUAGCCUGCAAACGACAGGACAUGAGGUCCCGUUAGCCACACCCUGGACCAGCAGCAAAUGACAUCAUCUGUCGAAUUCUGACACAUGCAGCCAUACCCAAAGUUCCCAGGUCUUUUUUUUCCUUGGAGUUCAUCCUCACACGCUGACUGAUCCCGAUCACUGGCUGCACCUCUGCCGCCUCACUCCUGGCUGGCAGGGCGUUAGCAGGAGGGAACACCUGUGUCUCUUUGUCACCGGGCACACCAAACUUCUCUUCCAGCUCCGUUGUAGAGGACGGUGGUGGUGGUGGUGGUGCUUGGGAAGUGGUCUCUGGUAGAGGUGAGGUGAGAAACAGGUCUCAUCAAGGACUGCCCUAAGUGCAUUCUACAGUCAAACCUGACCUGACCUGACCUGACCUGACUGUUGGGGAUGUUACAGGAAGGGUCAGCCCUAAAAUGCUCCCCUAAACUGUUAUCAAAUCCUGCCCUGGCGAACACCUGAAUUAAGGACCAGAGGCAGGAGCAUCUCCAUGAAUCCCAGCCAGUCUUGCAAGCCGGGGCUACAAAGUGAGAUCCUAUCACAAACACAGAAAGAAAAAAAAAAAAAAAAAAACUUCUCCUGCCUUAGAGGCAAAAUCAAGUCUGAAAGGGUUGCACUGUGGUUGGGAUGUACCAGGCAAAUCUGAGGAAAUGGUCUCAAGAAACAAUAGCCUCUCUCCUGCCUCCCACUUGUCUUAUCAAGUCCUUGCAAUCUUCCAACACCCAGCUGGGCUUGCCAGAGGGUUUCUCCAGUGACUGCACGCGGGUCUUCACAGCAGGAGACAACCCACACUGAGUGCAAGAUUCCUGCCAAUCCCAAUGUUAAGGGCUUAACCUUGAGAACUGUCUUAAUUUAAUCCUAGAGAAUUGUCUUAGUUUUCUUAAGUCUAAAAGCUUUGAAUUCAAAUCACAACACACCCAUUGCCUUUGGCAGGUGGUCAAACUUCUGGGUGACUCAGGUCCCUCACACAGCUUCUUCCCUGAGACUGUGAGCUGGGGACGCUACACACAGUAAAGGCUGGUGGAGCGCUUUGCGGAACGAGCGAACUGCCUCCCACCGUUGUUUACAAGUGCUCGCAGAGGAUGAGCUCACUCCGAAUGCUGCGGCGGCCAAUGGGCUUUGGGCUCCGCGGCCUGGAGAUAGCUCUGACCAAUCGGACCGCGCGGGGGUGGAACGGGGCGGGGCCGGGGUCGAGCAGCCGCACGUGCGCCGCGGGUGUAACCGCUGCUGCGCUGCUCGGCGCACGGGACUAACGUCCCCUACCCAGGGGUCCCAGGGCGGGUACCUGGGCAACGCAAGUCCUCGCAGGGCCGCUUUUCAGGGACGCCAGUCUCGCUGCUGAUGUAGCACCAGGGCCCACGCGGAUCCUGGUCCGGGUUCCGGCAGUAGUUGUGGUUGCCGGGGCCUGGGGUGGGGAGAAGAGGCGUUAAGGGCCGCGGCCGCCGCCCACCAACCCCGCCCGUCACCCCGGCGUUCACUCACUGGGCUGGGCGAGCGACUCGCCGCUGCCUUGCGCGGCCAACCAGUUGAGGCAGCGGAGACCCGGCGCGGGCGAGGGCUGGUCCUCCCGGUACAGGUGGCCGUUGUCCCAGAAGCAGCCUGUGAGGAAGAGGAACCCACCCGGGACCCUGAGUGCGGCUCUCUGGCCCCGUGGGCGAAAGCCCUGGGUACCUCAGAGAAAAGCGGAGAGCUUGAGUCAUGCCCCUAGCGGCGUCUGGUCCACAGAUAACAACAGUGAGAUUUAGCUUUAAAAAAAAAAAAAAAGAAGAAGCUUGAGAUCGCUGCACAAAUGCAAAGGGUUGUUACUCCUGGACUUGGGACUACUUUGAAGGUGCAGGAAGCCUGGCUGAGGUCCUUCUGUGGAGAUGACGAGUUUAGUUCUGGGCAGUCAGACAUGGAAGUCAUCCCAGUGUUGAGAAGUCAAUGUUACAUAAACUGACGUUCCCUUCUCCACGAAUACAGCCACCUUCUGCUAGUUUAACAGACACCACCGGCUCCCAAGAGAAUUUCACAAAAGCCUUUGACUCAGUGAAGCAAAAGAUUCAAUAGAGACUCCAGCUGAGGGAGCCUGCCACAUCUCUUCAGCUCCCACUCCCCUCAGCAGAGAGCCACAGGAGGAGCUGCAGAGGGGAGGUUUGUGCGCCUGCCACACUAUACAAAUGGACUUUAAAAGGGUAGGACUCUGGGGAGUAGAAGAGAUGAAUUCCCAAGCUCCAUCCACUCGUGUAAAAGGAGAGAGAAAGAGAAAGUGACUACUUGUCUUUGUUCUUAAUGGCAAAUAUGGAGCUGCAACGAAGGAGAGAAGAAGGCUUUCGUAGGAUAGCAAGAAAAGCAGCCAAAAUCUUCCUUCCCUGUCAGCCUGGCCACAUUUGGGAAAUCUGGGGGCUUUAGCCGUUCUGCUUCAUUAAGUUGCUGCAGAAAGGGAAGAAAAAAAUGUAAUCUCACCUCCAGAUCCAUAGGCUUCUGCCAGAAGCAUGUUGCUGAGAAGAAAUGUGUGUACCCAAGCCAACAGCAUCCUCGCCUCUUCCGGCUUGCAGGUGACUGAACAGCCAGUGUCCGAAUGGGGUCUCCUUGGCAGCAGUUUUGUCUUCUAGUUCCCAGCCUUGCAGUCAGACCGGCCCUUAUUAUGCUCUUCUGGUAAACAGCCUCUCUUUAGAACUGGGAGCUUCCCAGCUAGCUUGCUGCAGCCGAGGUGUUUUUCAGCUGAAAGGCGCCCCCUGGGUCCUAAGCCUCCUAGACCUUACCAGAUCACUAACCCUGAGCCAAGAGAGGAACUCAGCCAAGUGGAGAGUGGCAGAGAGGUUUUGCUUAGCAGCAGAUCCGUGUGAGACCUGCAGGACUCCAUCCCCAGAGCUUUUCUUUUCCAUCAGUGACUGUGAGUGAAAGCAGCUUUCACAUCGGAGGGUGAAGUGGUGCCACUUAACCUGAACUCUCAAGGUACAUUCUAGGAAAGAGGCGUCAACCCUGACCCUGUGUACUUGGUAUCCAGUUCUAUGCCAGGGCAGGCAAAGUCCAGCAUCUGGGCAACCCAGAAAGCAUGAGGAGGACCCAGCUCAGGGAUUAUCAUCAGGACCGGGUGAGAGGCCAAGGUGACGGGAAUUCAGUCUUCCACCCAACCUGCAAUCUGUGAACCAUGGAAAGGGCUCUCAUAGACACCUUGGGAGACUGUGAACAUGCCCAUUUAGCCAAGGACAAGAGCUGGCUCUGCCAAAGAUCCAAGAACUACCUUAACCCUGCAGCUAUGAGUGGGGGCAGUUUUGUUUGGUUUUUUGGGAGGGGGAGGGUUGAAGCAAGGUGUUACCAUGUAGCCCUGGCUGUCCUAUAAUUCACUAUGUAGACCAGGCCACCCUUGAACUCAAGAGAUCUACCUACCUCUGUCUGCCUCCUGAGUGCUGGAAUUAGACGUGCACCACCUCAACCACCAAAAAAGGUUAAAGUGCCAGAACUAAGGAACGGACAUGAACCAGGUGAGAAUAGCCAGGACUGCCUUCCCUUUUCCAGAGAGGAAUUAAAGAUACCUGGCUCCUUUACCAUUUGGGAUCUUUCCUGUAAAAGCUUUGCCGGGUCAUACUCUGAACCAAGGUAAUGGAGAGCCAACGCCCCAUUAUCCCCAACUAGAUUAAAUAUUUGGGGAUUAACUAAGCAACACUAAAAGUGCAAAUACAGGGGGCUGGAGAGAUGGCUCAGUGGUUAAGAACACCCGACUGUUCUUCCAGAGGUCAUGAGUUCAAUUCCCAGCAACCACAUGGUGGCUCACAACCAUCUGUAAAGAGAUCCGAUGCCCUCUUCUGGUGUGUCUGAAGACAGCUACAGUGUACUUAUAUAUAAUAAAAUAAAUCUUUAAAAAAAAAAAAAAA